ACUUCCUCCAAAUGGUUCAUAACUGAUAGGAGGGGAUGGUUGCUAGUGUUAAGCAAGAUGGGACAAAGGAGUGGAGACUGAACUUCAAUCAGAUAAACCCAAUAUUUAAACUGUAAAGUCCUCGGCUAUGGAAGGUGACUGGAGAGCCAUUGAUCCCUGCAUUUUAUAGGAAAAGCAAGGGCCCAUUGGAACCUGUUGCUGUUGGCCCUCUUUACAAGGUGAAUUUAGACAUAUGAGCACUCCAGGAGGAGAUCUGAUUUGACAAACAUGUCUAGAAAGAGGAAAAGCAAGCACUGGCAUUAACUUGGCUUCCGCUGAGACUGGGCUCCAUUAGUGAACUAAAUGUUGGUAUUCUGGGAAAAGCCAGCUUGUUACUGGAAAUUUUAAUUCUUUGAAAAAAAUGGCAUUAGAUUUGCCUUUGGUUGUUGCAUUCCAAGAGCUCUUGCCUAUGAAACCAUUCUUGAUCAUAGAGUGCAGCAAGUCUACAAGAAUGUUCAAUUUACCUGCUACCAGUCAUCAUUUCUUGCCCUGGCAGACAUUGCUAAUCAAUCUGAUGCUGACUCAGCUCACAUUUAAACUAAGAUUUCCUGAGGUGAUUCUGUAUGCAACCACUACCAACUGAUGAGUGCUGACAUGAAUAUGAAACCUGUUUGAACUCCUUGUGCUUUUAUGGUGUGUACCUUACAAUGAACUCUGAUCUAUUCACUACCAUUGAGUUUUAGUGGCAUUUGAUAAUGUUGCACCUGAUUAUAUUGUUAUAGUAUCCUCUUUUUUGAUUCAAAUCUGUUAAAAAUUGUUUAUCUCCAAAACAUUUAAGUACCUAGGGCACUUGGACUGUGUUUUAUACUACUCUGUGACCUUCCCAAUGUCAAGAUGGGUACAGACUAGAUGCUCAAUAAAUAUUUGGGUGAUUAAUUACCUAAGGAAUUAGGAUUAAUCACCUAAAGGAUUCUUUGGUUGAUAAACCUAAGGAAUUCAAUAGAAUGGAAGUCUAGGAAAAACUUUGCUUGCAUGGAACUAUCAAAGUAAAGCUUUGGACUGUGAAUAAUUCAGUCAACCUGCAUGCCUCGAUUAUCUGCUCCGAGUUUGUGAAGACCAUUGCUGUUGUCCCCGAAGUGUAUUGAUAAGUUAACAUGAUCGUAACUCUCAAGAUGUUUAUGGUUCAGUACCAGGAGCAAGAGAGAUAAGUGUGAUCAUCAGAAUUGUACAAAUAUAAAAGUGGUGCAGAGGAGAAAGACUGAGAUGAAUGAAGUUGACAAGGAUAACAGGUUGAACACUCCAUAGUGGAAAGAGGCAGUGGGAUGGGAAAUUAUUCCAUAAAGCUUCCUUCAAAGAGUGUCAGCAAGAUGUAAUGCCAAUGGAAUAGAAAAAUCUUUAGAAUCACAGCG